rnacentral:rRNA from 1 species
GAUGAACGCUGGCGGCGUGCCUAAUACAUGCAAGUCGAGCGAACGGACGAGAAGCUUGCUUCUCUGAUGUUAGCGGCGGACGGGUGAGUAACACGUGGAUAACCUACCUAUAAGACUGGGAUAACUUCGGAAACCGGGGCUAAAAACGGAUAAUAAUUUGAACCGCCUUGUUCCAAAGUUAAAGACGGUUUUGCUGUUACUUAUAGAUGGAUCCGCGCUGCAUUAGCUAGUUGGUAAGGUAACGGCUUACCAAGGCAACGAUGCAUAGCCGACCUGAGAGGGUGAUCGGCCACACUGGAACUGAGACACGGUCCAGACUCCUACGGGAGGCAGCAGUAGGGAAUCUUCCGCAAUGGGCGAAAGCCUGACGGAGCAACGCCGCGUGAGUGAUGAAGGUCUUCGGAUCGUAAAACUCUGUUAUUAGGGAAGAACAUAUGUGUAAGUAACUGUGCACAUCUUGACGGUACCUAAUCAGAAAGCCACGGCUAACUACGUG